CACGUAGGCGGAUAUUUAAGUCAGGGGUGAAAUCCCAGAGCUCAACUCUGGAACUGCCUUUGAUACUGGGUAUCUUGGGUAUGGAAGAGGUAAGUGGAAUUCCGAGUGUAGAGGUGAAAUUCGUAGAUAUUCGGAGGAACACCAGUGGCGAAGGCGGCUUACUGGUCCAUUACUGACGCUGAGGUGCGAAAGCGUGGGGAGCAAACA
rnacentral:rRNA from 1 species